UGUAAAGACCUUAGGGUGAAGCAAUUGGAGGACAAGCUUUGGUGCCAGCAGCCGCGGUAACUCCAACUCCAAGAGUGUCUAUGGUGGAUGCUGCAGUUAAAGGGUCCGUAGUCGUGAAUGCAAUUAAAUGUCGUUGUUCAAUAGCGAUGAGUUUGCUAAUGUUUGCGGAACGGAUAGGGAGUGUAGUAUAGACUGGCGAAGAAUGAAAUCUCAAGACCCAGUUUGGACUAACGGAGGCGAAGGCGACACUCUUAGACGUAUCUUAGGAUCAAGGACGAAGGCAGGAGUAUCGAAAGUGAUUAGACACCGCUGUAGUUCCUGCAGUAAACUAUGCCGACAGCCUGUGUGUGAGAAUACGUGGGCGGGAGAAAUCUUAGUGUUCGGGCUCUGGGGAUAGUACGCUCGCAAGGGUGAAACUUAAAGCGAAAUUGACGGAAGGACAUUACCAGGAGUGGAUUGUGCUGCUUAAUUUAACUCAAC
rnacentral:rRNA from 1 species